rnacentral:lncRNA from 1 species
CAAAUAUUUUCUCAUUCGAUCCUUUCAAGAACCUUGAGAGAGGUAGCUAGGUGGUUCAGUGGAGAAAGAACCAGGACUGGAGGCAGGAGGUCCUGGGUUCAAAUUUGGCCUCAGGAACGUCUUAAAUGUAUGACCCUAGAAAACGGUGACUCUUCUGAUCCCCAAACUGGUAAAAGACCUUCUUGGAGAUACAAGGUGGAGGUUACUUCUCAGGCAUGUUCUAUUGGAUGUUCCUUUCACCUCCAGCUGUGGUUCCUGGCAGCUGUGGGAGAGACACUAUCUGUUGCCUGGGCCUACUGCAACAGAAUGCUCGAGGAGGCCCCACGGUUCACCACGGGAAGCCAGGGGACCCCGGGAGCUGUCUUCUGCUACUGAGCCUGCCACUCUCACCCUGAAUUAUCAUUACGCAUUUCAAUUAGAAUUAGCGGGGAAACCAGUCAUUAAGUGGUUAGUUAUUACGGCA